rnacentral:rRNA from 1 species
AUUGAACGCUGGCGGCAUGCCUUACACAUGCAAGUCGAACGGUAACAGGUCUUCGGAUGCUGACGAGUGGCGAACGGGUGAGUAAUACAUCGGAACGUGCCCGAUCGUGGGGGAUAACGAAGCGAAAGCUUUGCUAAUACCGCAUACGAUCUACGGAUGAAAGCAGGGGACCGCAAGGCCUCGCGCGAACGGAGCGGCCGAUGGCAGAUUAGGUAGUUGGUGGGAUAAAAGCUUACCAAGCCGACGAUCUGUAGCUGGUCUGAGAGGACGACCAGCCACACUGGGACUGAGACACGGCCCAGACUCCUACGGGAGGCAGCAGUGGGGAAUUUUGGACAAUGGGCGAAAGCCUGAUCCAGCCAUGCCGCGUGCAGGAUGAAGGCCUUCGGGUUGUAAACUGCUUUUGUACGGAACGAAAAGACUCUGGUUAAUACCUGGGGUCCAUGACGGUACCGUAAGAAUAAGCACCGGCUAACUACGUG